AAAGACUAAUUGCAAAUAUAGAAUUCAUAAAUAUCAUUCAAAGUUCAGUAUGCAAGAGGAAGCAGUAAUAAUUACAUAGUUGCAGCCAUCCAAAAAUAUCAACACAGUAAAUAUAGAAUAAAAGUAUAUCCGGAAGGAGAUAUUACAACUGUGCAAAUAAAAAUUACGACUAACAAUUCUAGCUAUCCAAAAUCUUCACCAAAAAAGAGACGUUGUGAAAUGUUGCACUACCUUACCACUAGCAGUAGAUACAAAGAAGCUGCGAUUGACAUAUUAUCAACUUAACCUGUAAAGAGGAAUGAGAGGUCAUAAAAGGAGAAAUAAAUAAAAGGAAAGGAUAAAGAAGGAGUGGAGCUUAGUUAGAUCAUCUGGUUGAACCGACGUCCUUUUGACCAUGUGAGGUCAAAUCUCGACCACCUAUAGAAGUAAUAACAAGGUUAAUACUGAAUGGAAGGGAAAACUAAAG
rnacentral:lncRNA from 1 species